rnacentral:rRNA from 1 species
UACGGGGGGGCAAGCGUUGUUCGGAAUUACUGGGCGUAAAGCGCACGUAGGCGGCUUGGCAAGUCGGAUGUGAAAUCCCUCGGCUCAACCAAGGAAGUGCAUCCGAAACUGCCGAGCUUGAGUACUUAAGAGGAUCGCGGAAUUCCCGGUGUAGAGGUGAAAUUCGUAGAUAUCGGGAGGAACACCAGUGGCGAAGGCGGCGAUCUGGGAAGAUACUGACGCUGAGGUGCGAAAGCGUGGGGAGCAAACAGG